rnacentral:tRNA from 1 species
GGCGACGUAGCUCAGUUGGCUAGAGCGUUCGGUUCAUACCCGAAAGGUCGAAGGUUCGAAUCUUUCCGUCGCUACCA